UACGUAGGGGGCAAGCGUUGUCCGGAAUCAUUGGGCGUAAAGAGCGUGUAGGCGGCCAGAUAAGUCCGCUGUGAAAUCUCGAGGCUCAACUUCGAGCUGUCGGUGGAAACUGUCUGGCUAGAGUCCGGAAGAGGAGAAUGGAAUUCCUGGUGUAGCGGUGAAAUGCGCAGAUAUCAGGAAGAACACCCGUGGCGAAGGCGGUCCUCUGGGACGGUACUGACGCUGAGACGCGAAAGCGUGGGGAGCGAACAGG
rnacentral:rRNA from 1 species